AUUGAACGCUGGCGGCAGGCCUAACACAUGCAAGUCGAGCGGAUGAAGGGAGCUUGCUCCUGGAUUCAGCGGCGGACGGGUGAGUAAUGCCUAGGAAUCUGCCUGGUAGUGGGGGAUAACGUCCGGAAACGGGCGCUAAUACCGCAUACGUCCUGAGGGAGAAAGUGGGGGAUCUUCGGACCUCACGCUAUCAGAUGAGCCUAGGUCGGAUUAGCUAGUUGGUGGGUUAAAGGCCUACCAAGGCGACGAUCCGUAACUGGUCUGAGAGGAUGAUCAGUCACACUGGAACUGAGACACGGUCCAGACUCCUACGGGAGGCAGCAGUGGGGAAUAGUGGACAAUGGGCGAAAGCCUGAUCCAGCCAUGCCGCGUGUGUGAAGAAGGUCUUCGGAUUGUAAAGCACGUUAAGUUGGGAGGAAGGGCAGUAAGUUAAUACCUUGCUGUUUUGACGUUACCAACAGAAUAAGCACCGGCUAACUUCGUG
rnacentral:rRNA from 1 species